UUGACAGAUCAACAACAUUUUCUAUGUCACUAGGUGGAAGUAAUCCUAAUGGGCGUUCUAUCUUUCCCAACAACAUUUCUAAAGGACUUGCUUUCGUAAUGCGGUUGGUUGUACAAUUGAUUGCCAAUUGCACCUCUCCUAGCACAUCCUGCCAAGACUGAGUUCCAGUUUCAAUUGCCGUUAAUAUAUUUUUUAACGUCCUCAUGGUUCGCUUCACUUGACCAAGUUUAUUUUCUGAUCUGAACAGAAUUGACUGAACUUUGCGCCUGUAAAACACCUUCCCUGGUCAGCUGUUAUUCGGUUUGGUACUCCAAACAAUGAAACAGCGGAUUGAACGGCUUUUAUGCAACUCUCACUGUCUGAUUUAAGGCUAUGACUAAGAUAGACGUAUUUGGUAAACGCGUCUACCUGAACAAUAACAUACUCCUUCUGGUCACUCUUGCCACUUAAUUUUCCUGUAAUAUCGAUGUGGAUAGUGUGCCAAGGAGCAGUGACUUUUGGUAUUAGAUGCAAUUCAGUCUGUAUUUUCCCUGAGGUGGAUUUUGACAUUUUGCAAGUAAUGCAGUUGCCAACAAAUUUUUUAACAUUUUUCGACAUAUUGUCAAACCAGUAAAAGUCGUAAGUUUCAUCCAAUGUCUUAUCAAAACCAAAAUGCAUUAUUGACUCAUGAACUUGGUUUAUAACAGACCAUCUGAAAGCUCGUGGCAGCACUGGUAAACAUAGUGUUCUGCCAUUUCUCUGUAUUUUUCGAUGAAGAACUCCCGCCCCCAAUUCAUAGGUUUUCGCAAUAUCUUCAGGCAGAGAAAACUCUUUUAAUUUUUUUACAAUUUCGACUAUGUCCAAAUCUCGACGCUGUUCGGCAAUAAGCCAGUUGCUUGAAAUUUCAGCUAAACUUACUCUCUUCUCAUCGACUAAUUUUGUGACCGAAGUAGACUUUGUUAAAGGAGGAUUUCUCGAUAAAAAGUCAACAUGUGCCAUUCUUUUCCCUUCUCUAUACUGAAUAUCGAAUGUGAAUGAUUGCAAAUAAGCCCACCAAUGUGGUGCUCUAGGGGUUAAAUCUUGUUUAUUUUUUGACGCUUUUAGUGAGUUGCAGUCAGUAUAAACAAUAAAGUCCCUGCCUAACAAAUAAUGUCGAAAAUGUUUAAUGGAGUUUACAGCUAAGGUUUCCAACUCAUACGAGUGAUAUCUUAAUUCUGCGGGUGAAGUAGUUUUGCUAUAAUAUUCUAUUAUGUAAUAAAAUUGCACCGUAGCCAGUACAACUUGCGUCUGUAGGCAAUUCGAUUGGAUAAAUUGGGUCAAAGAUAACAAGAACUGGUUUUUCAGUUAAAAUGGCAAUGAUCUUUUUCCGUAUCUAUUCAUGUUCCGUUUUUCAAAUAAAUUUAUUUUUGUCUGCAGUUAAAAAGUAUAACGAUUUCAUUAAUUGUGAAAAUCCCUUAAUAAACUGUCGGAAGUAAGACGCUAACCCUAUAAAUUGUCUGAGUGAAGUGAUUGACUGUGGAGGCGGAAGAGCAGUCAACGCUACAAUUUUCUGUGGGUUUGGACGAAUUUCACCAGCACUUACAUUGUAACCCAAGUAUUGAACCGAUGUUUUCAGAAAAGAACACUUUGUAAGGUUGAAUGAAAACCCAGCCUCUGUUAAAACAUUUAGAACAAUCUGUAAUCUUUCUAACGCCUCGCAUUUUGUUGAGGCAACUAUAAUGAUAUCGUCCAUAUAGACGAUAACAAAGGAAUUUGCUAGAUCCCCUAAUGCCUGCAUUACUAAUCGUUGAAAAACCGAAGGUGCGUUUCUGAGCCCGAAUCGCGUAGAUAAAAAUUCUUUUGGCCAUCUGGCGUUACAAACGCCGUAUACUCAAUAGACGCUGAAUAUAAAGGAAUUUGAUAAUAUCCACUGGCCAUACCUAGACAUGUAAAGUAAUUAGCUCCUCCAAGUGUAUUUAUUUGAUCUUGUAUAAGUGUUAACGGGUAUUUAUCAGCGACUGUAUUUGAAUUUACCUCUCUAUAGUUAAUACAAAGCCUGUCUGAACCAUUUUUUUCUUAACCAAUAAUAUAGGGCUAGCAUAAGGUCAACAGCUUCGCCUAAUUAUAUUACAUAUUAGUAAUUCAUUAAUUUUUUCUCGAACUAAAUCUCGCUCACAUGGACUUAAACGAUAUGGCCUUCUGAGCCCGAAUCGCGUAGAUAAAAAUUCGUUUGGCCAUCUGGCGUUACAAACGCCGUAUACUCAAUAGACGCUGAAUGUAAAGGAAUUUGAUAAUAUCCACUGGCCAUACCUAGACAUGUAAAGUAAUUAGCUCCUCCAAGUGUAUUUAUUUGAUCUUGUAUAAGUGUUAACGGGUAUUUAUCAGCGACUGUAUUUGAAUUUACCUCUCUAUAGUUAACACAAAGCCUGUCUGAACCAUUUUUUUCUUAACCAAUAAUAUAGGGCUAGCAUAAGGUCAACAGCUUCGCCUAAUUAUAUUACAUAUUAGUAAUUCAUUAAUUUUUUCUCGAACUAAAUCUCGCUCACAUGGACUUAAACGAUAUGGCCUUCUUUGUACAGUUUUUGUUGGAUCAAUUAAUCUAAUUUUCAUUUCACCAAUUCUGAUUUUUGUACUUGGGAUACUAGUUAUAAAUGAACUAGCUGACUCCGCAGUCGUUGCACUACGUGCAAUUAUUUGUUUUGAAAACAAAGUUGAAUUUGUAUAGUGUUGGAAAACAUUUAUUUGCGAUUUUUCUAAAUAUUUUUUCAAUGUAACUCAGCUUAAUAAACAACAUUUUUUGUUUUCUGUUCCGGUGCGUAAAUGUACAGAGAAUAUGAUUUUUCAACUCGUGAAUGAAAUUUAUGCCACACACCUCCAGCGACUGUCUUUGAGACCUGUUGAUUGUCAUCCCAAAUGCAAGACUCGUUGGAAACUGAAUACGUUUGAACUGAAAUGGAAAAUCGUUGGAACUCAAAGAAAUUCGGGGAAUCAAGCAUUAUACCCCCUUGUAAUGUAAAACGGAUUUUUAAAUAACUAUUUAAACUGAAAUACAACUCUGGGUAAGAAAGCUUCCCAAGCUUAGUCGUAAGCUUCAAAAGCUUGACCAAAUCGCUCAAAAGCUUAGUCGACCGCUAUGUUUGCGAUUAUAUCGAUAUUCAUCUAUAUAAGGGCCUCUAGUUGGAUUUCUUCAAAGCAUGAUAAGAAUACCAAAUCACCUGAGUUCUAGGAUUUAUUAUGCGUUUUUAAGUGGAUUGAUUUGAAGCCAGAGGUGAUGAAUAAACAGAUUUAAGAACUGAUCUCUCCAAAAUAAGGUAAGCUCUCGACAUCAAUAGUUGGGGUUCUCCUUUCACAAUUUUAUAAAGUUCUAAAGGAUCUCAAGAAGAUAAAUUCUAUUAUUGUAAGAGCUCUGAAGAGAGCUCUGGGGUAACAUAGUAUAUACAUAUAUAGGUGCGAAUCCAUGUAGAGCAAUAAAGUAGACAUAAAUGCUGUCAACAAGGCGAAAGAACUAAUCAACGCUAAUAAAUAUGGCAUACAAUGAAAUGACAAUGCCACAUGCAACAUGCAACACACUGCAUGCAGUGGCAAACAUAUUUAUGAGUAGGCAAUGUGGCAGCUAACAAAUGCGUAAUUAACGAUGUUGGCGAAACUAAUAAAAAGGGUGAGAGAAGGAGAACAUGUAGAGUAAAAAGAAGAAGAGAGGAGGUGUUGUAGAACUACAUGCUUGGUUGCAAUGCAGUCGCAAUGUGUCAUAAACUACCAGCAAGUGUGGCAAUAAACGCCAACGUGGAAUGGUUAGUGACAACAACAACAAUAACAAUAACUACAACAACAACUACAGGAAGAAAAUGCAACAAAACUAAUAAUGUUUUAAAAUAAAAUAAAAAACUAGAACAAUAACAAAAAAAUAAAAUAUAAAAUGCAAAAAAAAAAAAAAAUAAAACCAACAAUAGACAGAAAAAAUAACAAUUUUUACAGGAAAAAUAAUAACAACAACAGAAGAGAAUUUUACAACAACAAUAAGAAAAACUACUAUAAAAGAUAAAAAAAAACAAAAAAAUAAUUUUUUUAUAAUAAAAAUAAAUAACACAACAAAAAAUCCAACAAAUAUCACAACUUUGACUAAAACAUUAAACAAACAUUGCUGCCACAAUGCAUGUUACAUUCUUUUUUUCUUAUCACCAAGCUGCCCCACACUCCACACCGUUGUCUUAAUAAGCGUUGACUUAAACGUCAUUACUUUGAGGCAACUUAUGACUCUAUUUCACCACGCCAAAAAAAGUGUGCACUAAUGUCGCCUCGAGUGCAAAAAUGUUGCAUGCAACACAAAUGUGAAGCGUUCACAAUACAGCUGCGCUGUUGCUGUUGCUCCUGUCCGACACUCCAACGCUUCCAGCGUAAAUAUAUAAAUAUUUGUGUAUUUUAAUGUUGCGCGCCUUCAGGCCACUUGCCGAGUCCACAACACGCUGACUGCCACGCUCGCCAUUUAGUGGCGUAUAAAAUAAAUUAAAUAUUUGCAACUUCUCAUUUGCCGCAAAGUGUUGCAUAUUUGCAUUUUUUGCAAGUUUUUAUUUUUCUUCACUCGCUUGCCUUGCCAACUCGUAUGCGCCUCAUUUGCAGCGAGUAACCGUAUAAUGUGUUGUUGUUGUUUUUGUGUUGGCAAAGUGUCGAUUGCCUUAGCUGUGGGUAGCCAUUUAUGACCGCUAGUUUUACAGUUUAGAAUUUAUAGUUGUUGUUAUUUUUGCUAUAGCAGAUUUUAAAUUUUAUUGCCACAGCGCGAGCGGUGAGUAGGCGAUUGCAGAGCGUAUAUUUAUAUAGUCGCUAGUGGCAUUCAGUUGUAGUUGUGUUACAUAAAUUGAGUUACCAUUUAUGAUUAGUGUUGAUGUGACUCAUUGUUGCUAAUUUAAUAAGCGAUAAAGACGAUUGGAUUUAGUUGAAUAAUUUUGUUUUUAUAAAUUUAUCACAUUCUGUAAGAUUUUGAAAUAAUAUUAGAUUAUGUUAUAAUAUCAUAACGAAAUCGCUGUGAAGUGCAGAGCCGAAUAGCUUGCUAGAAAACUCACCUUUGUCCCUAUUUUGUCA